CAUAUACAUUACCGAUGGUUGACAACUUUGUGUCCAAAUUCAUAUUUAAUAAGUAUGUGGAUAAAAAAGAAACAUCCAAUAAGCACGGAGAUGGUGUGUUCAUCACCUACGGCUUUAUUUGCAGCUACUAAAGGGUAGAAUAACAUCCAAGCGCUAUCUAGGCGAAAACAAAUGAAGAAAAAAGGAAUUGUUUUUUAUUUUAAUUAUUUUCUAAAUGAGGCCUUUAUUUUACCUAUUUGGCCAUAUCUACUAAUAUGUCAGUAUUUAUAAAAUACAUUAUUAGAGGUCGAUGAAAUUUAUAAUAUAAUUUAAGAAGCAUAGUUUAAGAUUAAUUUGUCAUUGAAA